rnacentral:lncRNA from 14 species
GUGGGGGACAAGCUGGAAGACUUUCAGUUUUCUAAAGCUGUCACAAUGCUGACAGAGAAGAGAAAGAUCGAAGUACAUUUUCAAAUGGGCAAUCACAGAGUGUUUCUCACAGCUGAAAUAUGGCUGAAGAGUUGAUUCUGUGUUCAGCAAGAGGUUCCCCAAACUUUUCCAGGAGUUGCUGGCAGUUGGCAGAAGAGGCUGAAGCAAAUCAGAGCAGCAAGUGGCCAUUUAGAGGCAGGGAUGAGAGCAGUGAGUGCUGGCCAAGUGCUCAGGAAAGCCACGCUGUAACUGCACAGACAGCCAACACUGCUUGCUCAGCUUGCACUGCUUCCAGGGAUGCCUGCAGGACCCUGUGGCCAGGAUACAAGGCCCACAUCCUGACAAACUGGAAAAUCCAUCCAGGAAGAGGAAGAUGGUACUGACACUUCUGGUCCACCAAGAAACAAAGCCAGAGGUUUCCAUUCCUAUAAGGGGAAAAAAAGCCAUCAAACCAACCAACACAAACACAGUGACUUCUCUUGGCUGCUGGUGGCUGCUCAGCACUGCAGGGAAGGAACAGACUCACAAUGAGUUUCUGCGCCACAAAGAAAGAAGGACGGAAGGAAGGAAGAAGUAUGAUACAGUGGCACUGCUGAGCACGACAGCUGUCCCACAGGCAACAAGGGUGCCCUCAUCUUGGAGCUGAAUUUGCAUGACUGAUUUUGGUUUGCGAAGUUAAAUAUCCCAAAUCACUGUAAUUAUUUUAAUAUUGUGGUAUCAUACUGAUCGUGUACUCUAGGGAGAUUAAAACUGUCAAAAUUGGCUGGUGUUAUAUGUUU